rnacentral:tRNA from 1 species
UAUAACAUAAUUAUGCUGAUUUAAAGUUAGAAGCUUUAUUUUUUUUGUAUUUCUUU